CUCGUGGACCCCACAUUCAAUCACGUUACAAAAACAUGAAGACAUUCUUGAACACACGGACUCACGUGGCACAAAAAAAUAAACAGAUCAGACGUUAACAAAUGUAUUGAAUUCCACAGGUGUUAAAAUUUUGAUAUACAACAAUUUUUACCAAAAUCACCAUGAUCCUCUGUAACAAAUAUUUGACUGUUGCAAGUAAACACCGUUGAUUUCUACUACAAGAAAUUACAGUUACCUUCCAAAAAAACCCAGAAAAAGUUGCAGAUUUUCAGCUUCUUUCACAGCAGCGUGAAUCCCAAUGAGUUAUCAUAUACCAUAAUCGCACACUGUAACCCUCUAAUCAAAAGUCAAAACCCAAGAAACCAUAGCUUCAUUUCAUCAUAUACACAGAUAGAUACACGUAUAUGAGGGUAUUUUUGAUUGUCAAAAACAGAAUAUUCUGAGAGUUUUUGUUAAGAAAAAUGCAAUCUUUUGAUGUCGUCAGAAUCACUUAAAAAAUUUAUGUAUGUACAGGUGUUUUUAUAGAAAGUUGGAAUAUAAUAAUAGAAGAAAAGUGAAUGAACAAAGACUAAAAUAGAUGUGAGUUUCUUAGGAGUUUCUGAAGAAUGAUUUUCUUCUCAUCAAACCUGAAACACACCUACUCUGCAAAGAAACUUCCUUGUGUUUGAACUGAAAAGUCUUGAUUUUGACCUGCAAUUUUUAUUGAUGAACUCUACAAGGAGGCUUUGAACAUAAGAAAAUUAAAGGAAUUUUGUGGGUUUUGAUUAAAAUGAUUUAUAAGAGCAAGAUCACAAGAGGGCUCUCUGAUUUUUUCUAUAUUUCGGAAGAAAAUCAGAGCUUCAAAGAGAGGAGGACAGCAGGGAUAGAGAAAAUAUUGGAAAACAGAGUCAUUGGGAAUUAAAAACACAACGACAUAUUCAUUUUUGUGUUUUUGGACACAUUUACCCUAUGUUUUGUGGGGCUUUAACGUUAAUAUUGCAGGAUAUCUAUGAAUUCUUGGAGGGUAAUUGUGUAAGUUCACAAGUUGGUCUCACAAACACG
rnacentral:lncRNA from 1 species